AUCGAACGCUAGCGGGAUGCUUUACACAUGCAAGUCGAACGAGGGGCGGACGGGUGAGUAAUAUAUCGGAACGUGCCCAGUAGCCGGGGAUAACUACUCGAAAGAGUGGCUAAUACUGCUUACUAUUGGUGCGGCUGAUAUCGGAUUAGCUAGUUGGUGGGGUAAAGGCUCACCAAGGCAACGAUCCGUAGCUGGUGUGAGAGGACGACCGGCCACACUGGGACUGAGACACGGCCCAGACUCCUACGGGAGGCAGCAGUGGGGAAUUUUGGACAAUGGGGGAAAGCCUGAUCCAGCCAUCCCGCGUGUAUGAGAAGGCCUUCGGGUUGUAAAGUACUUUUGGCAGAGAAGCGGUAUCUGCAGAAUAAGCACCGGCUAACUACGUGCCAGCAGCCGCGGUAAUAC
rnacentral:rRNA from 1 species